rnacentral:rRNA from 1 species
UGUCUCGACAGGGAGCUCGGCGAACAUUGAAAUGGCUGUAAAGAUGCGGCCUACCCGCACCAGGACAAAAAGACCCCGGGAUCUUUACUGUAGCUUGUCAUUGAGAUAAGGUUUUUAUUGUAGAGUGUAGGAGGGAGACUUUGAAGCUUGAUCGCCAGAUUGAGUGGAGUCGACAAUGUAACACCUCCCUUUGAAUUCUUUAUUUCUUAUUUGGGCCGUUAUCCGGUACCGAAGACAGUGUCAGGUGGGCAGUUUGACUGGGGCGGUUUCUUACUAAAGAGUAACGUAAGAUUUCAAAGGUCAACUCAGGCUGGAUGGAAAUCAGCUUAAGAGUGCAAUGGCAUAAGUUGGCUUUACUGCAAGACCGACAGGUCGAGCAGUCACGAAAGUGGGACAUAGUGACCCUUAAGUAGUGUGUGGAAACGCUUUUGUUUAAAGGAUAAAAGUUACCCCGGGGAUAACAGGCUGGUCUUGCCCAAGCGUCCAUAGCGACGGCAAGGUUCGGCACCUCGAUGUCGGCUCGUCGUUUUCUGGGGCUGGAGAAGGUCCCAAGGGUUAGGCUGUUCGCCUAUUAAAACGGCACGUGAGCUGGGUUCAAACCGACGUGAGUCAGGUUGGUCUCUAUCCGGUGUGGGCGUUAGAAUUUUGAGAGAAUUGACCCUUAGUACGAGAGGAUCAGGGUGAGGUAACCUCUGGUGUACCAGUUGUUCCACCAGGAGCAUAGCUGGGUAGCUACGUUGCUAUUAGGAUAAAUGCUGAAGGCAUAUAAGCAUGAAGCCAAUCUCAAGAUGAGAAUUCUUUUAAGAUACCUAGUAGACGACUAGGUUGAUAGGCUCUAGGUGUAAGUACAGUGAUGUACUAAGCCGAGGAGUACUAAUAUAUCGUAACUUACUAAA